AUCCAACCACCACAAUAAGUAUAAUGAUUGGGUUUCCACAUGUUUGUGUGACAUGUGCCUCCCACAAAUCUUGUUAUGACUUGGCACAUUACCCAUCUGAUG